GGGUUGUGAGGUUAAGCGACUAAGCGUACACGGUGGAUGCACGGGCACUCAGAGGCGAUGAAGGGCGUGCUAAUCUGGGAUCAG
rnacentral:rRNA from 1 species